GCGGAUAUGACGAAAUUGGUAAACGUAUCAGACUUAAAAUCUGACGCCUAUGGCUUGUCGGUUCGAUCCCGACUAUCCGCACCA
rnacentral:tRNA from 1 species